UAAUGUGAGGGCGAUCUGGCUGCGACAUCUGUCACUCCAUUGAUCGCCAGGGUUGAUUCAGCUGAUCUGGCUGGCAAGGCGGGUGUCCCCUUCCUCCCUCACCGCUCCAUGUGCAUCUCUCCCAAAGCUGUGCGCUCGGUGGAAGAGGACGACCAUCCCAGAUAGAAGGAGUGUACCGUUCUUCGGUCAAGGGUAUAUGAUACAGUGGUGCCUCGCAAGACGAAAUUAAUUCGUUCCGCGAGUUUUUUCGUCUAGCGAAUUUUUCGUCUUGCGAAGCACGAAAUCCCAUAGGAAUGCAUUGAAAUUCAAUUAAUGUGUUCCGAU